CCAAUUUAACGGCCGCGGUACCCUAACCGUGCGAAGGUAGCAUAAUCACUUGUUUCUUAAAUGGGGACUAGUAUCAACGGCAUCACGAAGACUACACUGUCUCCUCCUUAAAAUCAAUGAAACUAAUCCCCUCGUGAAGAAGCGAGGAUAUAAAUAUAAGACGAGAAGACCCCAUGGAGCUUUAAACGAACUUCAAUUGCUUCCCUCCCCACCAUAGAAAUUAAGCAUUAAUUGACGAUAGUUUUCGGUUGGGGUGACCGCGGAGUAAAACAAAACCUCCACAAUGAAUGUAAUAUACUAAUAAAAGAACCACAAUUCUAACAAUCAAAAAAUUGACAUAAAUUGACCCAAACACUUGAUCAAUGAACCAAGUUACCCUGGGGAUAACAGCGCAAUCCAUUUUAAGAGCCCCUAUCGACAAAUGGGUUUACGACCUCGAUGUUGGAUCAGGGUAUCCUAGUGGUGCAGCCGCUACUAAUGGUUCGUUUGUUCAACGAUUAAAACCCUAGUGAUCU
rnacentral:rRNA from 1 species